rnacentral:rRNA from 1 species
UACGGGGGGGGCAAGCGUUGUUCGGAAUUACUGGGCGUAAAGGGCUCGUAGGCGGCCAACUAAGUCGGAUGUGAAAUCCCCAAGCUUAACUUGGGAACUGCAUCCGAUACUGGAUGGCUUGAAUCCGGGAGAGGGAUGCAGAAUUCCAGGUGUAGCGGUGAAAUGCGUAGAUAUCUGGAGGAAUACCGGUGGCGAAGGCGGGUUGCUGGGCCGACACUGACGCUGAGGCGCGAAAGCCAGGGGAGCGAACGGG